UAACCCUCCCUCCCCACAACCUAAUCCUCCAUCCCCACAACCUAACCCUUCCUUCCCCACAACCUAACCCUUCCUUCCCCACAACCUAACCCUCCAUCCCCACAACCUAACCCUCCAUCCCCACAACCUAACCCUCCAUCCCCACAACCUAAUCCUCCAUCCCCACAACCUAACCCUCCAUCCCCACAACCUAACCCUCCCUCCCCACAACCUAACCCUUCCUUCCCGCAGUCUAACACUAACCUUCCCCCCAGCAGUCGCAUCCUAACACUAACCCUCCCUAUAGUGCCUAAACAUAUCCUCACCUCCUGCUGCUAAUUCUUGCCCUCCCCGGCAUACUAACGAUCGGGAUGCUGGCAGUCGGGAUUCUAGCUUUGGCACUGUGAUUGCAGUCAGAUCCUGGCGUCGGUCUUCUGACCAGUGUCAGUUUUCCGUCAGCCGGCAUCCCGAACGCCGGUAUUCUGUCUGGAUCCUAUAUAUAUAUGUCCUACACGGUUACGGUAAUAGUAUAUUCGGGAAGAGUGACCAGGAGUUUUUGGCAAUCGUAACCUUAAUGUGAUGGAACUGUCGAUCUGGAUAGGUCGUUUCCUUGAAAGGGAGAAGAGUUAACGUACAUAUAACGCCCAAACAAUCAGUAUUCCCACAGAUGCUAUGACAGGCAGUUCAAGGGAUAUUCUCUGUCACCUCCCGGAAGGCGGGACUCCGUCAACUCUCUCCUCACACUGACCUGACGAGCGCCGUCCUCCGUUCCCGCAGCCGCGGCUCGCUCUCCUCCGGCAUGGACGCCCACCACUCGGGUCUCAGUGUGCCACUGGGUCCCUCGGGCUGUAC